UUGCGGCUCAGGAAGCGUUUGAGGCGAAGCAGGCGAGCAUGUUUGUGGCGUUGGAUAAGCUGUUUGCUUUGCACAAUGCGAUGCUUGUUGAGUCUAGGGUGAUCAAAGCUUUCUUCAUCUACUUCUUGUCGAUCUUUGUUAUCUACAUGUUUACGAGUACGAAGCAAACUUACAUCAUAAGGCCAAGGCUUUACAUUGGUAAGUACCAUACUCCAUCUCUCUUAUAAAGUUAUUAAUACAUUAGUUUCUUAACAGAACUUUUUCAUUUUACUGAUGCAGGUUUGUGCGUUACCUUAGCAUUAGAAGUGGCAAGUUUGCGUUACGUGAAUGAUGCAGAACACAGAGCAUGGAUUAUAAACGUUCUCAGGUCUAUAUUCGCUGCUCUUGCUUCAGCUCAGCUUCUUCAUGCUGCUUUUACAUACAGGUAAGUCUCAAAUGCUCUUUUUGAAACAAACCAGAAACAUAGAAGCUGAUUUUUAUACUAACUGACUGAAAACGCAGGGAUUAUGAAGUACUAAACCACGAUAUACUCUUAAGACUAGUAGAUAAGGUUAACAGCAUGCAAAGCAAGAGAGAUCUCUCGUGGGAUGAAGAUAGUGAGAGCGAGGUUGAUUGGAAUACAUGGAUUGAUAAAGAUAUAAUUGAUGACGGUGACAGUCUCAGAGAUCCUGAUUACAAGAUUCCAGAACAGAUCAUGGAUAGUUCGGUGUUCACCUCAUCAUCAAGAUUGUACAAUCUCCGUGCUCGAUAAAGCCAGCAAUCAAGUCAAAGCAUUCAUCACAUAUGAUGUAAUGUCUAGGGAGAGUUUCAACAUCGUCAACACAAUGGCGAGUACACAGCCACUGGAUCCAAACUGUAAUUUUAUGCUACUUCAUAAUCUUAGCCAGUAGAAGGCGUUUAUUCCAGAACCUCAUUCUUUGUUUUUUGAAUAAAAUGAGGUUUUAAGCUUAAAAGGAGUUCUUAGGGUGAGGGUUCUCAGCGGCCUAAACACCCCCCCCCCCCCCCCCACACCACCCUCCUNNNNNNNNNNNNNNNNNNNNNNNNNNNNNNCCCCCCCCCCCCCAAUAAUCACUGUUCUAAGCUUUUGUUUUCUAGUUGAGUUAACGAUAUUUAAUUCAAAACGUUCCCUCUUGCAUAUUUAUCAUCAAAUGGAUUGCACAAGCCCUAAUUUUGUAGUAAUCACCCAAGAAAUUGAACAAUCUAAUUUCAUCUGAAUACAUCAAAACACUCUAGAAGAAUGCAUAUAUCAGGCGAGAGAGUGAAAUUAAAAAUCACAAAUCCUAAUGGGAUGUAUAUCAGGCGUGCUUGAAGAGCUUCAUGCUUAGCCAAUGAAAGUAGACGGCAACCGUUAUAACUGGUAUAGUCAAGGGGACCAAGAAGCAGUAGUAGUACCUUUCAUUCUUCAGACCUUGGUUUAACGGAUUUUGAGAGAGCGGAAACAAAGUCGAAGCGAUGAUUGCGAAGACGAAUCCGAAGAAGAAGACGGAACCAAUUGUCACGAAGAAGUGUCCCCAGAAUAACUCUCCCGUCGUCGUCGUUGUUCGCGGAAGCUUCAUCGGAGGAUCUGGAGUAAUCCGUCGUGAUUCAGAUGUAAUCAGUCUGUUUCCUUUUUUCCCGUUCACAAAAACGUGUUUAAGC
rnacentral:lncRNA from 1 species